UACGUAGGGUGCGAGCGUUGUCCGGAAUUAUUGGGCGUAAAGAGCUUGUAGGCGGUUUGUCGCGUCUGCUGUGAAAAUCCGGGGCUCAACCCCGGACUUGCAGUGGGUACGGGCAGACUGGAGUGUGGUAGGGGAGACUGGAAUUCCUGGUGUAGCGGUGGAAUGCGCAGAUAUCAGGAGGAACACCGGUGGCGAAGGCGGAUCUCUGGGCCAUUACUGACGCUGAGGAGCGAAAGCGUGGGGAGCGAACAGG
rnacentral:rRNA from 1 species